GAUGAACGCUGGCGGUAUGCUUAACACAUGCAAGUCGAACGGACUCUUCGGAGUUAGUGGCGGACGGGUGAGUAACGCGUGAGAAUCUGGCUUUGGGUUCGGGACAACCACUGGAAACGGUGGCUAAUACCGGAUGUGCCGAGAGGUAAAAGAGAAAUUGCCUGAAGAUGAGCUCGCGUCUGAUUAGCUAGUUGGUGAGGUAAAGGCUCACCAAGGCAGCGAUCAGUAGCUGGUCUGAGAGGAUGACCAGCCACACUGGGACUGAGACACGGCCCAGACUCAUACGGGAGGCAGCAGUGGGGAAUUUUCCGGAAUGGGCGAAAGCCUGACGGAGCACUACCGCGUGAGGGAAGAAGGCUCUUGGGUUGUAAACCUCUUUUCUUAGGGAAGAACAAAAUGACGGUACCUAAGGAAUCAGCAUCGGCUAACUCCGUG
rnacentral:rRNA from 1 species